AAUUAUCCUCAUAAGUUUGACAAUAAGAGAAACCAUAUAAAAUUUAAAUUAAUUAUAAUUUAAAUAACAAUAUGGUAUAAUAAAAUCGGAGGCCACGACUGUUUACUAAAAACACAAUUCAGAGCAAUGAUUAAGAUAAUAGUAUUCUGGAUGAAAUUUGCUCAAUGCCAUUAAUAUAAGAAAGGUAAUUUUAAAGUUACUAAUCGAAAAUCUGGUUAAUAGCGGUCUUAACUAUGAGGAUCCUAAGGUAGCAAAAUAAAUUGGCCAUUAAAUGUGGUCUUGUAUCAAUAAUGUAACGAUGGUCUCACUGUCUCUACAACUUGCUCAGUGAAAUUGAAUUGCGAGUGCAGAUGCUCGCUAUCUUCAGAGGGACGGGAAGACCCUAU
rnacentral:rRNA from 1 species